rnacentral:lncRNA from 1 species
GAAGAGUAGGGCGUUUAAAGGAACCCAACUACAAAGGUAUUGUGGAUCCUACAGCUGUUUGGUUCUUUGCCUUUAUUGGACAGUGUUCCAAUCUAGCAUAUUAAUACCCUUUCAUUGGAUCCAUCUCAAAAGGGUGCUGCCCGGCUGCACUAAAAAAAAAAAAAAAAGUGGUUUUCUAGACUUCAUCAUCAGACUGUGGUAGAGAUCCCAAGAAAAAAAAUACUGGAGGUUGAACCCCAAAGACAGAGCAGAGAUCAGGAUCUGGGCACAUAGCUACACUGGCAUACAGUAUGAAUCUUUGCAGCGCCUACCAUCAUGAACAGCAUGGUCCACAUUUGUCUAGCAGAUGAGACACCAAAGGAAGGAUCCACUUCCCGUUCUCUGUGCUGGGAUUUUGUUUGGUUUGAGUCUGUACAAAUCUUUUGCAUGCUGAACAGUCUGAGUUCACAUGUGUAGCAAUCUUAUUGCAUAUGGAAAACAACGUUGGACUCAUGGAAUAAGCAUCUCUAGCUAUUAGAAAAUUCUAUAUCAUCCUUCACAUAGACUCCUGAGCUUCGAGGGAAGGAAUCUGAGAAUGACAUUCCAUGUAACCCAUCUGGAACUGUAUUUUGGGGUAUGAGAAAUGAGGACUUGAUUCUAUGGAUUCACACAGCUUCCUUUGUUAAAUGCACCAUUUGGUCCCAAGCUGUUUCCUGCUGUUAGCCAGCUGUUUCUACGCCUGUGCAGGAUUUCCAAUCAUUACAUGUGAACUUAUUAUGAAGGGAAUUGUUAGAGGGUGACCAAUGUCCCCCAGACAAGCUUGUCCUUCGGCUCUGGGAAGAAGGCAGAAAGAACAGCUCUUCCUUCCGUGGCUGUCAGGACUGGAGUGGGCACCGGAAGCCAUCCCUGAGGGUUCAGGUCUCAAGGACAAUCCACACUGAGGUUAAUCUGCCUGUGGUUAAUAAAGAGAAGACUGUAUAAAAAGAGGAACUGUGACUAGGACAGCUCUCGUGGACCUGCCCAAGGUUUCCAGAAGGUAUGCCUUCAGUCUGCCUGGACUUCCAUGGGAACAGGAACGGGAAGCAGGCAGGACAAAGCCACCUCUUGGCUGCCACCUCUUGGCUUCCUCCUCUCCCUCUUGAUGAAACCAGCCAACGCUAUCAAGUCCAUGUCCAGAUGGCAGAGGCACGAUGUGCUCCCUCUCUGCUGCAACCUGAGCUGCAGUCGGAGUGAUCUGAAGCCAGUUAAACAGUACUGGUCUUGCUUGGAGGCAACAUUUAUUGCCUUCUAUCAGUAGUUUUGAACCUCCCUAAUGUUGCAAUCCUGUAAAUACAAUUCCUCCUGUUGUAGUAACUCUCAAUCAUAAAAAUAGUUUCAUUGCUA